AUGAAAAUCGCAUACAUAUGGCCUUUGAAAUUUGUCACUGAAGAUGGCUUUGCUCUAAGGCAGAGUUCAUAUCCUGCAGGCAGACAAGCAAAUAAGGCACGUGAAAUCAUACCCCAUAAUCUAGGUGCCAUCCAAAAAGUAUGUGUUUUGGUCUCGUGCAAGUG
rnacentral:lncRNA from 1 species